CGUCCCUAUCGCAUUCAAACACCGAUUCUCGCGCGAUCACCGAAGUUAAGCAACCUCGAGCCUGGUUAGUACCUAGAUGGGUGACCAUUUG